GGGUGCGAUCAUACCAGCACUAAUGCACUGGAUCCCAUCAGAACUCCGCAGUUAAGCGUGCUUGGGGGAGAGUAGUACUAGGAUGGGUGACCUCCUGGGAAGUCCAGGUGUUGCACCCC
rnacentral:rRNA from 1 species